UCUUUCCUUGUCAUGGGGUUGAGGACUGUUCAAUGAGCGUAUAGUGAGAGCAGGCCUGCUAACACCAUAUCAACACAAAUGCAUCACCUGACUACUUGAAGUCAGAUAAUGGUGCAAUUUUUGGCAAC
ensembl:snRNA